rnacentral:rRNA from 1 species
UACGUAGGGUGCGAGCGUUAAUCGGAAUUACUGGGCGUAAAGCGCGCGUAGGCGGCUUUGUAAGUUAGAGGUGAAAGCCCGGGGCUCAACUCCGGAAUUGCCUUUAAGACUGCAUCGCUAGAAUUGUGGAGAGGUAAGUGGAAUUCCGAGUGUAGAGGUGAAAUUCGUAGAUAUUCGGAAGAACACCAGUGGCGAAGGCGACUUACUGGACACAUAUUGACGCUGAGGUGCGAAAGCGUGGGGAGCAAACAGG